UCUAGACUCUGGUCCUCAUACGUGCAUAGCAAGCGCCUCAGCCCAUCAGUGAAGUGGUCUUGACGUUAAGAUAGACAAUUCUGCCCUCUUUGUAAUUACAAGUUCUUUUGAAGAAACUGAGCAGCUGGUUGUUACAGGAAUACAUAUAUGACUGUUAGGCCUCGCAUCCCUUUUAAAAGGUGGAAUCAAAAUUCUCAUUCCAAAGGUUGUAAAAAAAAAGAACAAAUCCUGAUCUCUUAAAUUCAGAGUAUUAAAAGCCCCAUGCCUUCAGAGGGACCUUCUCCAGGCAGCCUGCCACGGCUUCAUUGGCUCGAAUCCUCCUGGGUGUACACUUGUUUGGCAACAGCUCCCACUGUAGGUCUUUACACAUUCCUGGGUCUGGGACUCAGUUGUGGAUCUGUGGAUGUAAUGAAACAUCUGAGCACACUUCUCAGAGGAAGAAAACUGAUAAAACUCUCAGCAUUUCCAUCAUGUCUUCACCUCAGGGAACUGUGGCCAUCCUGGGCAUCUCCACGAGGCCCUGAGGGAAUACCAGGUGAAUGGGAUGCAGCAGAGACUGCUCAUUUAUAUUUGGAACUGAUAAUGAAAGAAGCAGAAGGGCCAUCACUUAAUGUCAGAAGGACCACGAAACUCCUGGUAAAUGUUAUUGUCUGAAAGAAGAACCAAGCCCUGGCAGCAUGGACGACACCUCUGUGAACAGUGUGGAACAGUGAUAGAGCUGAAGCUACUAUCAUGCCAGAUGGGAAUUAAAGACUCUGUGAGGAAGAAGAAAAGCCACAGAACUGCUGCCUAGAGAAAGCUGAAGAGUUGAGGGAGAAACUCGAUUCAUUAUCUUCAGGGGGCUUUCCAGAAAAGGAAUCUUGUGCUGCAUCCCUAGGAUUGCAAAGAUAUGAAUUUCUAUAUAUCAUGUUUCUUCUUUUGGCCGUAUCAUUGCUAUGUCCUUAACUGGGCCUUCAUUACCCUGUCCUUAAAAGAAGAGAAUGGGGAGAAUGAAGCUUCAUUUUCAAGGAACUCUUUUAGAAAGGAAGUAAAAUUGAAUUAAAAACUUUCUAUUGGGAUCUGGGGUGUGGUGUGGUGGUUAAAUACUUGCCCAGUGUAUUCUGUUUGAUCCCCAGAAACGGAAAGAAAAUUCUUCCCAUUAUAGACUAUUUUCUGUUUUCCUCUAAAUUCAUAUGCUGAAAUCCCAAUUUCCAAUUUGAAGAACAGGGCCAUUAAGUGAUGUGAUCUAGGUUAAAUGAGGUCACUGGGGGAACGAAUCCAAUCCAAGUGAUCUCAGAAGAGUUCUGGACACAGGCAAACGAAAGAAGGGCUGUGUGUAGACUCGGGUAAGAGAUAGCCAAUGCAAAGCCAGGCUUGGAGCCACAGCCGAG
rnacentral:lncRNA from 1 species